rnacentral:rRNA from 1 species
UACGAGAGGUGCAAGCGUUGUUCGGAAUGACUGGGCGUAAAGCGCACGUAGGCUGGCUCGUAAGUCUGAUGUGAAAUCCCUAGGCUUAACCUAGGAACUGCAUUUGAAACUACGAGUCUUGAAUGUCUCAGAGGUUGGUGGAAUUCUUGGUGUAGGAGUGAAAUCCGUAGAUAUCAAGAGGAACAUCGGAGGCGAAGGCGGCCAACUGGGAGAACAUUGACGCUGAGGUGCGAAAGCGUGGGGAGCAAACAGG